GGAAGGUCAUUAUUGAUGAAUGANACUUUUGGCAGGAUGCUGUUGUGCUGGCCCCUUAGGGGGGCAAUGUGCACGCACCUUUUCUGGCCAUCUGUUUCUUCUGUUCCACCUGUGCACUGCUUGUAGACACACACACACACUGUGUGUCUAUGAUGACAUUUACACACUCUUACAUAUAACAUGAAUAUGGUCGCAUGGAUAUAUAUAUUUGUAUAUUACAUGUGUAAUGAAAGGAAAUAUACAACUUUCAACAAUGGAUCUCUUGGCUCUCGCAUCGAUGAAUAACACAGCGAAAUGUGAUAAGUAAUGUGAAUUGCAUAAUCCAGUGAAUCAUCGAAUCUUUGAACGCAUCUUGCGCUCCUUGGCAUUCUGAGGAGCAUGCCUGUUUGAGUGUCGUUAAACUAUCAAAACACACUUUUCUUGGGUGUUUUGGACUUUGGGAGUAUUUUGCUGGCCAGCUUUUUAGGCCAUCUCUCCUCAAAAGCAUUGGCUUGGAGACCAUAUCAUUGUGUGAUCUUUUGUUUACACUCACCUUGGGCUGUCUCUGCUUUCUUCUUCUCUCUUUGACCUCAAAUCAGGUAUGGAAUACCCCGCUGAACUUAAGCAUAUCAACAAAUCGUAGGACCUCUCC
rnacentral:rRNA from 1 species